UAUGCCGUUUCGCCAAACCCCGUCGGCGGCCCGCGACCGUUCAGCUUCCCGACGGGGGCGGAGGAACCACCACCGGUGACUUAGUCACCUUGGGGUGAAGCAUGCAGUGACCCAUAGCCGUCUCGGCCGUGGGUUGGGCGUGCCGGGCAGACCCUCGCCCGAAUCCGACAGCUAACUUCGCAGGCGUCGAGAGGAAUC
rnacentral:sRNA from 2 species